GAGACACAUCUGGCUUGCAAAGGCAAACAUGGGAGACAUUAGAACUACAUUUCUGAAAAUAGCUAGCAAAUUUGGUAGGCAAUACCAAAAAUGCCUCCCUAAAAUUAUCUUCAAAGUGCCAUUUGGUUGAUGUAGAUUGGCAUGGUUUUAUGGAAACAACAGAUAGCACAUGCUCCUUAUUUUAUUGAUGUAUAAUCUAUUUCUAUACCGCCAACUUACAGCUAGAGUUCUAGUAGCUAAGUACUGGAAAAGUGAACUUACUCCAUCAAGAGAGGAAGGGCAGUUAAAAGUAUGUGAGUACUUGGAACUUGCGAAAAUGACGGAAUCAAUAAGAAAUAAAUCAGCAGACAAAGUCAAAAAAGAAUGGGAAUGUUUUAAUAAUUACUUAAUGGAACAAGGUUCCAAUAUUAAAACUUGGUUGUGUUUUGAAUAAUUCCGCAAACAGAGAUAUAUCGCUUCCUCAUACCAAGAUGAGGAUAAAACAACGAAUACAGGGGGAAAUGGUAGGUUAAUGUGAACUGCAACCGUAACGAGGCAGAAGGAAGUCUACAAUAAUAAAAAAAACGUAAAGAGAUUCAACCAAUACUGAAGGUUACAAUAUACAAUAUAUAAGAAAAGCUACCACAGGGUAGAAUCAUUUUAAAUAAAAUCUAUUAGGUGAUAGGUAUAGAGUUUAAGUUAUUAUACUGUUAUAGUUUUCUUAAUUACUAUAUUAUCCUUUUUUCUUUUUUUCUUUUUAUGUACAUUGACAUGUAGGUGUUCUUUUCUGUUCUUUACUUUUCAUACAAGAUCUUAAGGUAUGUAUUUGUUAACUAUGUAUUUUUACAUGUUUUUGCUAAUAAAAUAAAAUAAAAAGUUACAAUAAAAGAUGGAGACCUUUAAAAACAGUACAAAACAAUCAAAUUAAAAUGACUGAUUAAUUAAAAGAAUGUAAACAGUUACCUAGGCCUGUCAGAAUAAAAAGGUUUCCAAGAGAUGCCUGGAAAUCAAUAGUAAGGAUGCCUGCUGAAUCUCAGCUGGUAAAGUUCGACAACAUUAUAGGGAUGCCGUACAUCUGGAAUUUCCAGGACAUAUCCAAGAUUCGCCCUUCGAAAGUAGCAUCCAGGCAGAUUUUUUUAAAAAAUUGGUUAAAAUCUUAUGGUCUAUAAGAAAAUUAUAGGGAAAUGAUACAUCAGUGGUAUCUAACACUGAGUAAAUUGGCAAAAAUGUAUAAAUCUAAAUCAAACAAGUGUUGGAAAUGUAAAGAGAAAUAAGAUUUUAUCAUAUGUGGUGGGCUUGUAGUAAGGUUGAAGCCUACUGGGAAAUGAUAUAGAAUGAAAUGAAAACAAUGUUUAAAAUAACCUUUGUAUAACUAUAAAAAAGACGCAUGCUUUGGCUCUUAACAAUAUACUUUGCUAUGUAUCUCACUAAGGAGAGGAGCUUUGCAUUCAUAGGGAUAUUGUUUAGAUAUGUGUGUGUAUCGUGGGUUGGUUAGACACAGAGGAAUAGUGGGAGGAACCUGCUGGGGAAGCAAUGCUUCUUCAACAUCAACUUUGUUGGACUGGUCAUGUUGUGCGGAUGUCUGAUUGUCGUCUUCCAAAGCAACUACUCUAUUCCCAACUUAAAAAGGGGAAGCGUAAUGCCAGUGGUCCACCAAAGAGGUUUAUAGGCUCUCUCAAGGCAAAUCUAAAAAAAUGUAGCAUAAACACCGACAACUGGGAAACACUGGCCUGUGAGCACUCCAGUUGGAGAAAAGCCUUUACCAAAGGUGUCAUGGUCUUUGAAGAUGCUCGAACUCAGGAUGCAAGGGAGAAAUGUGCUAAGAGAAAGGCACACUUGGCUAACCCUCACCAUGAACAACGCCCGCCCAGAAACCUAUGAGCCCACUGUGGAAGGACAUGUGGAUGCAGAAUUGGCCUCCACAGUCACUUAUGGACUCACUGUUAAAACUGUGUUUAUGGAAGACCCACUUACUCGGCUAUGAGUGAUCGUCAAAAAAGAAGAUGAAGAGGAAUGGUGAGAGGAACCAGCUGGGGGACCACCAAAAGAGGAAGGCUCAGAACCUUUGGUGGCUGAAUGAUGAUGAGUGGCCAGAGAGCAAAUAGGGAGAAAUAAAAUGCACUAUAAUUUCUA